rnacentral:lncRNA from 1 species
AUUGUUAUGACUCCAGCGGGCUACCAUACAGUGAGACUGUUGGCUGAGUGAGCAGUGUUUCUGAGCAGAAUGUUACUACAUUUGACUUACAGGCUGCUGGUAUUUCCAUCUCUCUUGGAUCUACCCUCCUUUUCCUAGUUAAUAUAGUCCCCAGAGUUGGAGAGUUCUCUUCUCUUCUCAAGAUUGCCUGUUUAUGCAAAUGAAUGCAACCAGGCUUAUAGCAAGGCUGGCUAUUCUCAUAGCCCUAGGUGCUGAACUGCCUCAAAGCUACACAAGCAGAAUUAUGACAGGGUGUACAAGCUACUGAGUGUCCAAGGAACGGCAGUAACUCCAAUAUUGAUGGAUUGUCUUUAAGCAAGGGAAGAAGCUGGAUAGAACUUCUGGCUGAUGCAGGGGAAGGUGAAUGAACAUGACAGGAUGUCUGGAGCCACGGCCUGGGAGGACAUAAAGCACAGCAACAGGGAACCUUGGAGACAAGACCAGCAAACUUACAGAUGGGCUGCUUGUGGAGAAGAUGUACUUUGAGGAACUCAACAUUGUGCUAAUCCUAAAACUGGAUAAAGAUAAUAGAAGAAGGCAGACAGGCAGGUCUGCCCAUGCCCUACUGAGGUCCCAAGUGGCACAGAACAUGCUGAAUCACCCCGCUGCAGACAGGCAGCCACCUACUUCCACACUACAAAGAUGCAGAGGACACCAGACCACCAGACCAAGGUAAUGAGUCCCUCUGCUCCAGGCCCAGAGGUAGGGGCUUCUGAGCCAUCGUCCCACUGCUAAUGGUCCAGAGGACGGGGCUUCCCAGUCACCAUCCCUCCUGCUGCUCCCAGCCCACAGGAAAGGACUUUUCAGCCACCUUUGGUCCCACUGCUCCUGGC